rnacentral:rRNA from 1 species
UACGUAGGGGGGCCAGCGUUGUCCGGAAUCAUUGGGCGUAAAGCGCGCGUAGGCGGUCAGGUAAGUCCGGUGUGAAAGUCAAAGGCUCAACCUUUGAAUGCCGCUGGAAACUGCCUGACUUGAGUCCGGUAGGGGCGAGUGGAAUUCCUGGUGUAGCGGUGAAAUGCGCAGAUAUCAGGAGGAACACCAAUGGCGAAGGCAGCUCGCUGGAACGGUAGCUGACGCUGAGACGCGAAAGCGUGGGGAGCGAACAGG